AAAUUGAAGAGUUUGAUCAUGGCUCAGAUUGAACGCUGGCGGCAGGCCUAACACAUGCAAGUCGAACGGUAGCACAGAGAGCUUGCUCUCGGGUGACGAGUGGCGGACGGGUGAGUAAUGUCUGGGAAACUGCCUGAUGGAGGGGGAUAACUACUGGAAACGGUGGCUAAUACCGCAUAAUGUCGCAAGACCAAAGAGGGGGACCUUCGGGCCUCUUGCCAUCAGAUGUGCCCAGAUGGGAUUAGCUAGUUGGUGAGGUAACGGCUCACCAAGGCGACGAUCCCUAGCUGGUCUGAGAGGAUGACCAGCCACACUGGAACUGAGACACGGUCCAGACUCCUACGGGAGGCAGCAGUGGGGAAUAUUGCACAAUGGGCGCAAGCCUGAUGCAGCCAUGCCGCGUGUAUGAAGAAGGCCUUCGGGUUGUAAAGUACUUUCAGCGGGGAGGAAGGUGUUGUGGUUAAUAACCACAGCAAUUGACGUUACCCGCAGAAGAAGCACCGGCUAACUCCGUGCCAGCAGCCGCGGUAAUACGGAGGGUGCAAGCGUUAAUCGGAAUUACUGGGCGUAAAGCGCACGCAGGCGGUCUGUCAAGUCGGAUGUGAAAUCCCCGGGCUCAACCUGGGAACUGCAUUCGAAACUGGCAGGCUUGAGUCUUGUAGAGGGGGGUAGAAUUCCAGGUGUAGCGGUGAAAUGCGUAGAGAUCUGGAGGAAUACCGGUGGCGAAGGCGGCCCCCUGGACAAAGACUGACGCUCAGGUGCGAAAGCGUGGGGAGCAAACAGGAUUAGAUACCCUGGUAGUCCACGCCGUAAACGAUGUCUACUUGGAGGUUGUGCCCUUGAGGCGUGGCUUCCGGAGCUAACGCGUUAAGUAGACCGCCUGGGGAGUACGGCCGCAAGGUUAAAACUCAAAUGAAUUGACGGGGGCCCGCACAAGCGGUGGAGCAUGUGGUUUAAUUCGAUGCAACGCGAAGAACCUUACCUGGUCUUGACAUCCACGGAAGUUUUCAGAGAUGAGAAUGUGCCUUCGGGAACCGUGAGACAGGUGCUGCAUGGCUGUCGUCAGCUCGUGUUGUGAAAUGUUGGGUUAAGUCCCGCAACGAGCGCAACCCUUAUCCUUUGUUGCCAGCGGUCCGGCCGGGAACUCAAAGGAGACUGCCAGUGAUAAACUGGAGGAAGGUGGGGAUGACGUCAAGUCAUCAUGGCCCUUACGACCAGGGCUACACACGUGCUACAAUGGCGCAUACAAAGAGAAGCGACCUCGCGAGAGCAAGCGGACCUCAUAAAGUGCGUCGUAGUCCGGAUUGGAGUCUGCAACUCGACUCCAUGAAGUCGGAAUCGCUAGUAAUCGUGGAUCAGAAUGCCACGGUGAAUACGUUCCCGGGCCUUGUACACACCGCCCGUCACACCAUGGGAGUGGGUUGCAAAAGAAGUAGGUAGCUUAACCUUCGGGAGGGCGCUUACCACUUUGUGAUUCAUGACUGGGGUGAAGUCGUAACAAGGUAACCGUAGGGGAACCUGCGGUUGGAUCACCUCCUUA
rnacentral:rRNA from 1 species